CUGCUGAUAUCGGUCCUUUAGACCGAUUCGCCAACUUAUGAUCGGGGACCACAUCGGCUCAUUGAUACGGUCCCUGAACCGAUUGCACCUAUUACUGGCAUUCUAAUUUGAUCAUUUGGCCCCAAGGCCAAACAACCGAAUCGGUGGGGGAAAUCGGGAGGAGAUCCGCUCACUUGGCGACCUCUCCAGGCAAGCGUAUCUUUACGUGUAUGGCCACCUUAAGUGACAAUGCAAGUGUGCAUUAUUGUGCAGUAAGGGGCUGUGGGACGUGGCUAGCUGUGGCUGCUGCAUUACAAGAACCUACAAAUCAUCACUAUCUGAGACAGCCCUGUGGACCUCCACGUUACCAGGUCUUUUCUACCCUCCUUCAGCAAUAAAACAAGAACACACAUCACAAUGAAGUUUUUGCCAAAGUCAAAGGGAAUCAGACAGAGGCACUUUUGCCAAGAAGCACCCUGAAGUUAAAAGCGGCUACAAAAAGCAAUUGGAAUUUAGGCUUUGCUAGUGCAGAGACUACCACUGUGCUCUCUGCACUUACAAUGUGGCUCCUCUCUGCCCCCUCCAACAUGAAAAACCUUAGCAUGGAGGAGGGGGGGGGGCGGCAUCCUAUAGGCUGCCUCAUGGACGGAAUGCCCCUGGAAUCAGAUAUUUGUUUUCUAACAGCGGAUCUGUAAAUGCUACCUGCUGAUUGGUUGCUCUGGGUUGUUAGACAAGUGGCAAACUUAAGACCAUUUAUUACCCCUUAAAAGGCUUAAAGGAAAUUUAUCUUAAAAUGCAACAGAAGGAAAGCAGAAAUAUUGGUCUAAAUGUAUUUCUCACUGCCAGUGAUUUGCAUUAUAUACAAUAAAUCGUUUUUUUGGUCUAAAA